GGCCCAGUGGCGGAUGGUCCGCACCCGCAAAGGAUAGAUAUGCACAAAUGAAGUGACUACUUCUGCGGAAGACGCUCGUUCGAAUCGAGCCUGGGCCA